rnacentral:rRNA from 1 species
AUUCUGGCUCAGGACGAACGCUGGCGGCGUGCUUAACACAUGCAAGUCGAACGGUAAGGCCCCUUCGGGGGUACACGAGUGGCGAACGGGUGAGUAACACGUGGGUGAUCUGCCCUGCACUCUGGGAUAAGCCUGGGAAACUGGGUCUAAUACCGGAUAUGAGCUCCUGUCGCAUGGCGGGGGUUGGAAAGGUUUACUGGUGCAGGAUGGGCCCGCGGCCUAUCAGCUUGUUGGUGGGGUAAUGGCCUACCAAGGCGACGACGGGUAGCCGGCCUGAGAGGGCGACCGGCCACACUGGGACUGAGACACGGCCCAGACUCCUACGGGAGGCAGCAGUGGGGAAUAUUGCACAAUGGGCGAAAGCCUGAUGCAGCGACGCCGCGUGAGGGAUGACGGCCUUCGGGUUGUAAACCUCUUUCAGCAGGGACGAAGCGAGAGUGACGGUACCUGCAGAAGAAGCACCGGCCAACUACGUGCCAGCAGCCGCGGUAAUACGUAGGGUGCGAGCGUUGUCCGGAAUUACUGGGCGUAAAGAGCUCGUAGGCGGUUUGUCGCGUCGUCCGUGAAAACUUGGGGCUCAACCCCAAGCUUGCGGGCGAUACGGGCAGACUUGAGUACUGCAGGGGAGACUGGAAUUCCUGGUGUAGCGGUGAAAUGCGCAGAUAUCAGGAGGAACACCGGUGGCGAAGGCGGGUCUCUGGGCAGUAACUGACGCUGAGGAGCGAAAGCGUGGGUAGCGAACAGGAUUAGAUACCCUGGUAGUCCACGCCGUAAACGGUGGGCGCUAGGUGUGGGUUUCCUUCCACGGGAUCCGUGCCGUAGCCUAACGCAUUAAGCCGCCCCCC